GAUGAACGCUGGCGGCGUGCCUAAUACAUGCAAGUCGAGCGAACGGACGAGAGGCUUGCUUCUCUGAUGUUAGCGGCGGACGGGUGAGUAACACGUGGAUAACCUACCUAUAAGACUGGGGUAACUUCGGGAAACCGUAUCUAAUACCGGAUAAUAUUUUGAACCGCAUGGUUCAAAAGGGAAAGACGGUCUUGCUGUCACUUAUAGAUGGAUCCACGCUGCAUUAGCUAGUUGGUAAGGUAACGGCUUACCAAGGCAACUAUGUGUAGCCGACCUGAGAGGACGACCAGCCACACUGGAACUGAGACACGGCCCAGACUCCUACGGGAGGCAGCAGUGGGGAAUUUUGGACAAGGGGCGCAAGCCUGAUGCAGCCAUGCCGCGUGCAGGACGAAGGUCUUCGGGUUGUAAACUUCUUUUAUACGGAAAGAAAAUGCUCUUGCUAAUACCUGCGGCUCAUGACGGUACCGAAAAAAAAAGCACCGGCUAACUACGUG
rnacentral:rRNA from 1 species